rnacentral:tRNA from 1 species
CAAGAAAUAGUUUAACAAAAAUAUUAAUUUUGGAGAUUAAUGAUAGAGAAAUUUCUUUUUUCUUGA